UACGUAGGCAGCGAGCGUUGUUCGGAAUUACUGGGCGUAAAGAGUGUGUAGGCGGUGCUCUAAGUUCGGUGUGAAAUCUCCUGGCUCAACUGGGAGGGUGCGCCGGAAACUGGAGUGCUUGAGCGUGGGAGAGGAAAGCGGAAUUCCUGGUGUAGCGGUGAAACGCGUAGAUAUCAGGAGGAACACCUGUGGUGUAGACGGCUUUCUGGACCAUAGCUGACGCUGAGACACGAAAGCGUGGGUAGCAAACAGG
rnacentral:rRNA from 1 species